rnacentral:rRNA from 1 species
GACGAACGCUGGCGGCGUGCUUAACACAUGCAAGUCGAACGAAGUGGGGCACGGGUGAGUAAUACGUGUGUAACCUGCCCCCCUUUUUGGGAUAAGCCUUGGAAACGGGGUCUAAUACCGAAUAAAGGGGGAUGGGCUCGCGGCCGUUCGGGUUUUUGGUGGGGUGAGGGCCUACCAAGGCGGGGACGGGUAGCCGGCCUGAGGGGGUGACCGGCGACAUUGGGAAGGGGCUACGGCCCAGACGCCUACGUGAGGUAGCAGUGUGGGAUAUGGCACAAUGGGCGAAAGCCUGAUGCAGCGACGCCGCGUGGAGUAUGAAGGCUUUCGGGUUGUUCAUCUCCGGCGCCAGCGAUCGGGUAGGUGCAGAAGAAGAGCCGGCUAACUACGUGCCAGCAGCCGCGGUAAUUC